rnacentral:tRNA from 1 species
UUGUAUAUUAGUGAUAAAUUUUCUGCCUUCCAAGCAGAGGACGUGAGUUUGAUUCUUACCGACA